UAAGGUAAGUUUGAUUUAUUUCUUAAAAAUUAAUUAUUUAUGUUGAUUAUAUGAAUUUUUUUUAAGUGGUUAUUUUUCAGUAAUAAGUAUUUUUUUUUUAUAUUUAUUUAUUAAAAGUUACAUAUCUAUUAUGGAUAAAAAUUGUGCCAGCAUUCGCGGUUAUACAAUUCAUAAGAAUUAAUUUAUUAAGUUUUAAUUUUUUAAAAUGAAUUUUUAUUUAUUGAAUUUAGGUGAAAUUUUUUUUUUAAUUUUUAUUCUGUAAUAAUUUUUAAUAAAUUUUAAUUUAAAAUCAGGAUUAGAUACCCUGUUAUUUUUAAUUUACUACUUUUACUUUAACAUUAAUAGUUAUCAUCUAUAAAAUUUGUAUAAUUUGGCGGUAGUUUAAAUUUAGGGGAACCUGUUCUUUAAUUGAUAAACCACGAUAGGUUUUACUUUAUUUAUAUUUGUAUAUCUCUAUAUUUUGAGUAUUAUUAAAAAGUAAUACUUUUUUUAUUAUUUAUUAUAUGUUAGGUCAAGGUGCAGUUACUAAUAAAGUAAGCGUGGGUUACGUUAAAUUUUAAUAUUUAGAAUAUUAAAGAGUUUAAUUUAAUGGAAAGAGGAUUUAAAAGUAAUUUUGUUUUAUUUAUCAUUUUGAAUGUUUAAUUAAAUUAUGCACAUAUUGCCCGUCACUCUCAUUAAUUAGUUGGGAUAAGUCGUAACAAAGUAAUUGUACUGGAAAGUGUAAUUAGAUU
rnacentral:ncRNA from 1 species